rnacentral:rRNA from 1 species
AUAUUGGUCAAUGGGUGAGAGCCUGAACCAGCCAUGCCGCGUGCAGGAAGACGGCCCUAUGGGUUGUAAACUGCUUUUACCAGGGAAGAAAACGCUCUUGCGAGAGUAACUGACGGUACCUGGUGAAUAAGCACCGGCUAACUCCGUGCCAGCAGCCGCGGUAAUACGGAGGGUGCAAGCGUUGUCCGGAUUUAUUGGGUUUAAAGGGUGCGUAGGCGGCCCGUUAAGUCAGCGGUGAAAUCCCGGGGCUCAACCCCGGAACUGCCGUUGAUACUGGCGGGCUUGAGUUCGGUCGAGGCGGGCGGAACUGGCGGUGUAGCGGUGAAAUGCUUAGAUACCGCCAAGAACCCCGAUUGCGUAGGCAGCUCGCUGGGCCGAAACUGACGCUGAGGCACGAAAGCGUGGGGAGCGAACAGG